CAGCACCUCAAGUGGUCAGGAUGAUUAUUGGGCCUAAAGCAUCCGUAGCCGGCUCUGUAAGUUUUCGGUUAAAUCUGUAUGCUCAACAUACAGGCUGCCGGGAAUACUGCAGAGCUAGGGAGUGGGAGAGGUAGACGGUACUCGGUAGGAAGGGGUAAAAUCCUUUGAUCUAUUGAGGACCACCUGUGGCGAAGGCGGUCUACCAGAACGCGUCCGACGGUGAGGGAUGAAAGCUGGGGGAGCAAACCGGAUUAGAUACCCGAGUAGUCC
rnacentral:rRNA from 1 species